GAUGAACGCUGGCGGCGUGCCUAAUACAUGCAAGUAGAACGCUGAAGGAGGAGCUUGCUCUUCUGGAUGAGUUGCGAACGGGUGAGUAACGCGUAGGUAACCUGCCUGGUAGCGGGGGAUAACUAUUGGAAACGAUAGCUAAUACCGCAUGACAACAGUUAUUGCAUGAUAACUGUUUAAAAGGGGCAACUGCUCCACUACCAGAUGGACCUGCGUUGUAUUAGCUAGUUGGUGAGGUAACGGCUCACCAAGGCGACGAUACAUAGCCGACCUGAGAGGGUGAUCGGCCACACUGGGACUGAGACACGGCCCAGACUCCUACGGGAGGCAGCAGUAGGGAAUCUUCGGCAAUGGACGGAAGUCUGACCGAGCAACGCCGCGUGAGUGAAGAAGGUUUUCGGAUCGUAAAGCUCGGUUGUAAGAGAAGAACGAGUGUGAGAGUGGAAAGUUCACACUGUGACGGUAGCUUACCAGAAAGGGACGGCUAACUACGUG
rnacentral:rRNA from 1 species